rnacentral:lncRNA from 1 species
CGCUCGCUAUGCUCGACCAUAGAUGACAAUGAAAGCACCAAUGAAACAGUAUAAUAGUAUUGAAACAAAAAUAGAGCAAUUACAACAGAAAUUUGAAAAGAACCAUCCACAAGAUUAUCAAGUAGAAAAGGAAAGACAAUUAACGGUAAAGAGCAGCAACCACGAUCUCCAUUUCAGCUAAUGACGAUCACUUGAGAAUGAAGUACAAGAAGGUUUUAGAAAU